AGCUUUGCACAGUGGCAGUAUCAUAGCCAAUGAGGUUUAUCCGAGGUGCGAUUAUUGCUAAUUGAAAACAAAACAUAAGCCGU
ensembl:snRNA U4 U4 spliceosomal RNA